rnacentral:rRNA from 1 species
GACGAACGCUGGCGGCGUGCUUAACACAUGCAAGUCGAACGGAAAGGCCCUGCUUGCAGGGUACUCGAGUGGCGAACGGGUGAGUAACACGUGGGUGAUCUGCCCUGCACUUCGGGAUAAGCCUGGGAAACUGGGUCUAAUACCGGAUAGGAGCCAUUUUUAGUGUGAUGGUUGGAAAGUUUGUUCGGUGUAGGAUGAGCUCGCGGCCUAUCAGCUUGUUGGUGGGGUAAUGGCCUACCAAGGCGGCGACGGGUAGCCGGCCUGAGAGGGUGGACGGCCACAUUGGGACUGAGAUACGGCCCAGACUCCUACGGGAGGCAGCAGUGGGGAAUAUUGCACAAUGGGCGCAAGCCUGAUGCAGCGACGCCGCGUGGGGGAUGACGGCCUUCGGGUUGUAAACUCCUUUCGCUAGGGACGAAGCUUUUGUGACGGUACCUAGAUAAGAAGCACCGGCUAACUACGUG